CCUGGUUUGCCUUCCUUGCUGGCGUCCUUGUCAUCUCCAACCCGCCCACGGGGUGCUCAAGGGGUUCGGCCAAGUCGGAUGCCAGGCGGUGCGUGCAGCUGAGGAGCACUGGCAGCAGGCGCUUGAUGCGGCGCUCCCCGCGUCGCCGCUGCUCAUUCGCGGCUCCUCCUCCUCCCCAACGGAUCGCGACUGAACCUUCCUUGUGCCAGCACCUCGUGGCCAUGAAGGGUGGCUGAGCCAUCAGGAGCGGCGGCGGCGGCCUGCUGCGGAUGCUGCUGCGGCUCCCUCCUCUUCCUCGUCGGCUUCUACCUGCUUUGUGCCGACGCCAUGUACAUCGUGUCAUCCCGGUGCUUCUGCUUUCCCGGGUCGCAACUCUUUGGUGUGCUCGACA
rnacentral:rRNA from 1 species